GGCUCCCUGACCAUCAAGGACCUCAGGUGGGCACCAGUACGCUCCCAGUAAGCUCCCAGUAUCACCAGUAAGCUCCCAGUUAGAGCAGGAAGCUCCCAGUUAGAGCAGGAAGCUCCCAGUUAGACCAGUAACUUGAGCCGUGGGUGCUGCUGGGGGUCCUGGGGGGGUUCCCUGACCAUCAAGGACCUCAGGUGGGCACCAGUAUGCUCCCAGUAUGCUCCCAGUGGGCACCAGUACGCUCCCAGUAAGACCAGUAAGCUCCCAGUUAGAGCAGGAAGCUCCCAGUAAGACCACUAGGCUCCCAGUAUCUCCAGUAGCUUGAGCCGUGGGUGCUGCUGGGGGUUCUGGGGGGGCUCCCUCACCAUCAAAGACCUCAGGUGGGCACCAGUACGCUCCCAGUAAGCUCCCAGUACACUCCCAGUAUCACCAGUAAGCUCCCAGUAAGACCAGUAAGCUCCCAGUUAGAGCAGGAAGCUCCCAGUUAGAGCGGGAAGCUCCCAGUAUCUCCAGUAACUCAGGCCCAUGGGUGCUGCUGGGGGUCCUGGGGGGGCUCCCUGACCAUCAAGGACCUCAGGUGGGCACCAGUGGGCACCAGUACGCUCCCAGUAAGCUCCCAGUAUCACCAGUAAGCUCCCAGUAAGAGCAGGAAGCUCCCAGUUAGAGCAGGAAGCUCCCAGUAUGACCACUAGGCUCCCAGUAUCUCCAGUAACUUGGGCUGUGGGUGCUGCUGGGGGUUCUGGGGGGGCUCCCUGACCAUCAAGGACCUCAGGUGGGCACCAGUACGCUCCCAGUAAGCUCCCAGUGGGCACCAGUACGCUCCCAGUAAGACCAGUAAGCUCCCAGUUAGAGCAGGAAGCUCCCAGUUAGAGCAGGAAGCUCCCAGUAAGACCACUAGGCUCCCAGUAUCUCCAGUAACUUGGGCUGUGGGUGCUGCUGGGGGUCCUGGGGGGGGCUCCCUGACCAUCAAAGACCUCAGGUGGGCACCAGUGGGCACCAGUGGGCACCAGUACGCUCCCAGUAUCACCAGUAAGCUCCCAGUUAGAGCAGGAAGCUCCCAGUAAGACCAGUAAGCUCCCAGUAACUUGGGCCAUGGGAGCUGCUGGAGGUCCUGGGCCAGUCCCCCCCUGUCCCCUCCGAGUGCCUCCCAGAGCUCCCAGUAACCCGUCCCAGUGCUCCCAGUAACCCCUCCCAGUGCCUCCCAGUGCUCCCAGUAACCCCUCCCAGUCCCCCCAGCACCUUUAAUCCACAACCACCACCCCAAAACCGCCCCAAACCGCC